AAAAAUUAAAUAAAAGGGAAGGAGGCAUGGGAGGCAAAAAGCAAUUUCCUCAAAAAAUUCAAUUUGUUUUGUUCUCUGUGUCUGAUUUCCUUUGGGUUGGCCCUGCUUUCCUUAAGAUCUCCAAAACCCCAGACUCGGCUUGCGUCUGGAACCAAGGCAAGACAGGGGCUAUUUCUCCAGCCCAGGCGCAGGCCCAGGCCCAAGCCCUGACAAUAACAGAGAGGCUGGCUCAACAGUGAGGUCUCUCCAGGAUACAUUAACCACCGCCUCAGUGUGAAAGAUGAUCAGCUGUGAGCUUAAUUCCUCAUAAAAUAUCACUCAGGCCAGAGCAGGUUAGCUAAAUAUGUGGUCCUAAGAAUUAAACAGAGUUUCCCUUUUAGCUCCAACAAAGAGGGGAAAGGCAGGGCUGCAGGGGUAUAAUUUUGCAGGAGCCUUCAGGACUGCUCCUGGGCUGGCUGCUAAGUUGCUUGAGGGCGACAUCAUUGUAAUGAUAGGGUUAACAUUUUCUCAUCUCCCACUGGUGCAGCCCUCCCCCUACUAACCAUGUACGUUCCUUCAGUGCAAGCGGACAUCAGUAGAAAUCUAAAGGUUCUCUCCCUCCUUCCCUAGGCACAAAACCCAGCCUCCAAUCUCUAUAGACUUUAGAGAAAGAUGCCAGGAAUAUAAAGUAUGGUGAAUGUGCUUUGUCAGAGGGAUGGCUGAGCUGAUAAAAGUUUCAGUCUGGGGUGACUGGUGACCAUUUGCUACUGCAAAGGGAAAGCCUGCCUGAGGAUUCAGCCAAAGAGGAAGAAAGAUGAUCAAAAGAUCUAAAAAGGCAGAAUCAUGACGACACCUUUUGAGCACCUGGAUCCAGCACUGCCCAAUGCUCCCAGCCAGUUACAGGAACUAAUACAUUUCCUUUUUUCCUUAAUCUCUUUUGAGUUGGGGUGCUGUCAUCUGCAACAUAUCCACAAAGCCAAAGAAGUUUAUGCUUCUAGCGCCUCAUUGUCCAGGCCCCUUCCAGGGAGCUGCCAUUUCAUUUACUGUCACAGGAUUCAGGUAAGUGAAUGCCAGCUGCACAACGUAAGAGUGACGUCCAGUAAUAGUACUACUGUCCCGUGCCAACUCGCAGGGGUCAAGAUCCAAAGUUACAGGACCCUGGGCCAUGUCUCAGUAAAAACAUGCCCGAGGACAACAGGUACAGAAUUUUACAGAAGUGGAAGAGACCUGGUUUGAAAUGUACAGAACCAGAAGCUAGUCUGGGGAAAGUUCCAAUUGUCAGAGGAAUGAAAAUGAUUUUGAUUCUCACGAAAGUCUACCGGAAACAUAAUAUUUCAGCAUGUACAACAAAAAAUGUACCAUAUGUUUUUUUUCUUUUUUGACUAGAACCCGGGAGAAUAAAAUGUAUCAAGAUUCUGCCUUUGUAGGGCCGAAUCUGCAGUAACACCAGAAGCAGUAAGUAUAUGUCUGUAUGAAGUGGCAUGUUUUCUCAUCAUGACUAUCAAUAAUAAAGAACAAAUUUCCAUUUGCUGUGCCAUAGGAAAGACUGAACUAUCUUCCUACUCUCUUUAUGAAAAGUGAUAUUUCAAAAUUGUUGUCAUAUGAAUCAGAAGCAAUCAAAGAGUACGCAGCCAAAAACUGUAGGAAAGAAGGCAUUGUAAAAGCACAUGAAGCAGUAAAUUAAUAAGAACAUUGUUAUUUUUCUGAAUUUUGUGAUGAUGGUAUUUGGUAGCUUUUUAAAAUGUGUGACUUUUGCAGUUUAUUUUCUCUUUGCAAAUAAAUAUUCAUUGUGUGCCUAACUUGUAUGUGUAAUUUUGUGUUUUUUUAAGAGGCUCUCUAAAAUUGUCUGAAACACAGGCUCUGCAAAACUUGCUUCUGCACCUGUGUAGAGGAUGAACACAUGAUCUGCAGCCAGACCUCCCAGCUUCAGAUCUCAGCGGGGCCAUCUGCCAGCUUUAUAAUGCUGGGUGGUUUACUUUGCCUUUCUAUGCCUCAGUUUUCUUAUCUAUGAAAUGGGGAUAAUAACUUCAAAGGGUUUUUUGUAGGAUUAAAUGAGUUAAUACAUAUAAAGAACCCAGAAGCUGGCUAUCAUUAAUCAUAAAUAACAACUAUGUUUGUUUCUUUUU